AUUGAACGCUGGCGGCAGGCCUAACACAUGCAAGUCGAGCGGAUGAAGGGAGCUUGCUCCUGGAUUCAGCGGCGGACGGGUGAGUAAUGCCUAGGAAUCUGCCUGUUAGUGGGGGAUAACGUCCGGAAACGGGCGCUAAUACCGCAUACGUCCUGAGGGAGAAAGUGGGGGAUCUUCGGACCUCACGCUAUCAGAUGAGCCUAGGUCGGGUUAGCUAGUUGGUGGGGUAAAGGCCUACCAAGGCGACGAUCCGUAACUGGUCUGAGAGGAUGAUCAGUCACACUGGAACUGAGACACGGGCCAGACUCCUACGGGAGGCAGCAGUGGGGAAUCUUGGACAAUGGGCGAAAGCCUGAUCCAGCCAUGCCGCGUGUGUGAAGAAGGUCUUCGGAUUGUAAAGCACUUUAAGUUGGGAGGAAGGGCAGUAAGUUAAUACCUUGCUGUUUUGACGUUACCAACAGAAUAAGCACCGGCUAACUUCGUG
rnacentral:rRNA from 1 species